AUACGUAGGGGGCGAGCGUUGUCCGGAAUGAUUGGGCGUAAAGGGCGCGUAGGCCGCCCGGUAAGUCUGGAGUGAAAGUCCUGUUUUUGAGAUGGGAAUUGCUUUGGAUACUGUCGGGCUUGAGUGCAGGAGAGGUAAGUGGAAUUCCCAGUGUAGCGGUGAAAUGCGUAGAGAUUGGGAGGAACACCAGUGGCGAAGGCGACUUACUGGACUGUAACUGACGCUGAGGCGCGAAAGUGUGGGGAGCAAACAGGAUUAGAUACCCUGGUAGUCCACACUGUAAACGAUGAAUGCUAGGUGUAGGGGGUAUCGACCCCUUCUGUGCCGCAGUCAACACAAUAAGCAUUCCGCCUGGGGAGUACGGCCGCAAGGUUGAAACUCAAAGGAAUUGACGGGG
rnacentral:rRNA from 1 species